GUUGGGUUAUUUACUGUACCCAAUAUCUGGGUUAAACAUAUUGGGUCAUUAUGUUGGGUUAUUUCGAACUUUUGUUGGGUUGUUUGUAUAACAACGCAACCAGUUGGGUUAAAUUUUAAAUUCCAACGGUCGACCGGCGUAACUGUGACAGAAGAUAAACGGGUAAGUAAAUAUCAUACAAUAUAUGCAUAUAUGUUUUAUUUUUUUGCGUUACAAAGUGAUUUUAAGCUCUUACACAGUAAUAUCGCUGAUUUUCUCCACAAAUAUAUUUACAUAUUUACCCCUGUCGACUGCUUUUUGUCCGCUGUAUUUGCAAUUCGACUCCGAUGCUUGUUUUAUAGCAAACCUAAAGUAAUAAUAAUAAUAAUAAUAAUAACAACAAUACACGACUGGGAUGCUUUUCCUCACUUUCUCUGUUUUUCCUAAUACAUUUUGGGAAAUUUUUCACAUAUUUCAGAUAUUUGACAACGCGAUCGGCUUCAAGACCCUGCUCUGCCUCUGUGCCUCAUCCAUCCGACACGCCCACUCUGGGAGGAUGCUAUGGAUUUCUAUGUAAAGGAUACACUUAGGAAGUGGAACCUGGAAACUUUAAUUGACAUAUUUGCAGAGGAAGAAAUUGACCAACAAAGCUUUCUGCUACUUGACGAGACUACCAUAAAUGCACUUAUACCAAGAAUUGGCCAAAGAGUAAAAUUCACAAAUUAUUACAAGCAACUGCGCACUGUAAGUAACUAAAAAAAAAUGCCUUUCACAUGCUUCAAAUGUAAAAAAUCCACCCCAAACCACAAAGAAUAUUUCUUACAUCUAAAUGCCAUUCAUGGAAUUAACAGUUCAUCAAAAUAUUUCUGUUGCUGUGAGAACAACUGUGGUAGGACAUUUGCAUACAUGUGGUCUUUCAAAAGACAUCUGUUGAAAGAUCACAUGCAAGCAGAUGAAAGGCCAACAAAAGAAAUCUUUCCAUCCACAUCUUCUGAAGUUUCACAUCAACAAACUGCUCCAUCCACUAAUGUGCAAACACCAGACACUGAAGAUAUGGGGACAGAGGAAGAGUGGGAUGACUUUGACAAAGAAGAAUUAACGAACCGUUUAGCUUUGUUUCUUGCAAAGCUAAGAGCUAAAUCUUGCCAAACAUAUUCUGCUAUCAACUUUGUUGUCAAACAAACCGCAAGCUUAAUUACAGAUAUAGUAGGCGGUCUACAGGAGAAGACAAUGUCCUUGUUUCAGCGUUUUGGACACCAAGAUGACCAAGCAGUGAAAAACUUGAAUGCUCAAUUUGAGAGGGCUGCUGAGCCAUUAAGAGACCUUGAAUCGGAAUAUAAACAAAUGAAAUACUUUACAAAAACAGGGUGUUUCAUCGAGCCUGUAGCUGAGUAUUUUCCAGGGGUUUCCUACUGUCAGCGACACGAUUCUGCAUCUGGCAUCGUUAAACAAACAGCAGUACCUGAUUCAUUUCAGUAUAUUCCAUUGCGUCCACUUCUGAAAAAAGUUCUUG